UACGUAGGGUGCGAGCGUUAAUCGGAAUUACUGGGCGUAAAGCGUGCGCAGGCGGUAAUGUAAGACAGAUGUGAAAUCCCCGGGCUUAACCUGGGACCUGCAUUUGUGACUGCAUUGCUGGAGUGCGGCAGAGGGGGAUGGAAUUCCGCGUGUAGCAGUGAAAUGCGUAGAUAUGCGGAGGAACACCGAUGGCGAAGGCAAUCCCCUGGGCCUGCACUGACGCUCAUGCACGAAAGCGUGGGGAUCAAACAGGA
rnacentral:rRNA from 1 species